UACGGGGGGGGUAAGCGUUGUUCGGAAUUACUGGGCGUAAAGGGCUCGUAGGCGGCCAACUAAGUCGGACGUGAAAUCCCUCAGCUUAACUGGGGAACUGCGUCCGAUACUGGAUGGCUUGGAUUUGGGAGAGGGAUGCGGAAUUCCAGGUGUAGCGGUGAAAUGCGUAGAUAUCUGGAGGAACACCAAUGGCGAAGGCAGCUCGCUGGAACGGUACUGACGCUGAGGCGCGAAAGCGUGGGGAGCAAACAGG
rnacentral:rRNA from 1 species